rnacentral:lncRNA from 1 species
UCUGGGAUCUUAGAAUCCACACCCACCCCACAGGAAAGAUACAGACUCAGCAUAAAGGUGUCCUCCAAGACAGGGCAGUGAUGGAUCUUUAUUAGUAUUGU